rnacentral:snRNA from 1 species
GGAUGGGAGUCCAAAGUCCAUUUGUAUACCCCAAAUAAAUACUGAUCUACUAUCCAAGGCUCAAUAGAUUACCUAGGCCUCCUCACUGAUACCCACAUUCUUCCUCCCUCACCGCUCCAUGUGCGUCCCUCCCAAAGCUGCACGCUCGGUCGAAGAGGACGACCUUUCCUGAAUAGAGGAGGACCGAUCUUCCAUCAAGGGUAUAUGAAUAGCUGCGCUCCCCUGCUAGAACCUCCAAACAAGCUCUCAAGGCUGGCAUUCUUAAGCUCCCUCAACAAGACUCUGCGAACUCUCUUCAGAUGGUUUCUGU